AGUGAACGCUGGCGGUAGGCCUAACACAUGCAAGUCGAACGGCAGCACAGUAAGAGCUUGCUCUUACGGGUGGCGAGUGGCGGACGGGUGAGGAAUACAUCGGAAUCUACUUUUUCGUGGGGGUUAACGUAGGGAAACUUACGCUAAUACCGCAUACGACCUACGGGUGAAGGCAGGGGAUCUUCGGACCUUGCGCGAUUGAAUGAGCCGAUGUCGGAUUAGCUAGUUGGCGGGGUAAAGGCCCACCAAGGCGGCGAUCCGCAGCUGGUGUGUGAGGAUGGUCGCCCGCAUGAGAACUUGAACACGGACCAUGCUCCUGCGGGAGGCAGCAGACGCGAACAUGAGACAAUGGGCGCAAGCCUGGUCCAGCCGUACGGCGUGGGAUAAGAAGACCUUGGGGUUGUGAUGCCCGUCUGUUGGUAAAGAAAAGCAGCAGGUUAAUACCCCGCUGUUCUGACGGUACCCAAAGAAUAAGCACCGGCUAACUUCGUG
rnacentral:rRNA from 1 species